rnacentral:rRNA from 1 species
UACGUAGGGGGCAAGCGUUGUCCGGAUUUAUUGGGCGUAAAGAGCGUGUAGGCGGCUAGGUAGGUCCGUUGUGAAAACUCGAGGCUCAACCUCGAGCUGUCGAUGGAAACCAUCUGGCUAGAGUCCGGAAGAGGAGAGUGGAAUUCCUGGUGUAGCGGUGAAAUGCGCAGAUAUCAGGAGGAACACCGGUGGCGAAGGCGGGUCUCUGGGCAACAACUGACGCUGAGGAGCGAAAGCGUGGGGAGCGAACAGG